UGCAGAAUGCGCGUAGUGCCGGUAGCUUCGUGAGCGCUGUGCUUUUGACGCUUCGUUCGCGUUGAAGCGAGAGAUGCACGAACGUCAAUUCGAUCGCUGCUGCUGCCGGGAUUCCUUACUCCAGCAUCUUGACAGUGAGUUUCCGCGCUCAUGGAGUGAGGCUGUGAGAUGUCAGCUGACCGACGAGGUCAUGGAUGUCUACAUAGAGAGAAGCAAGCUGGCACCUGCAUUGGAAUGCCUGCUUGAGAAUGCAAACGACUGAAGGCUCUUUGCGCGAUGGGCUGGAGAGAAUAAGUGAUAAUAAAGGGUAAGCGCGUGGUGG